GCAUGGAAGAGUAAUUGACAAAUGAAUGUACUCAUUUGGCCUGGCCUUGUGAAAUAUCCCUUAAGAAAAAAUCAAGAUUAGAAUCAGAUGAUCCCCGUUCAGAAAUUGCUGCUUGACAAGCCUCUUGAAUUUCUUUUGCUUUUUCUCUCAUUUCAAUUACUUCACUAUUUUCUUUAUCCAUAAAACUCUGCACAAGUUUUGCAAUUUCUUCUCUUGUUACCAAGUUUUCACCUUCAACCCCUUGUUUCACUCUCCACCCAAUCUUCCAAUCUUCCACAAUUUUUUUACUAUUGGAAGUUUGAUCCCAAAUUAUAGGAGAAGCAAGCA
rnacentral:misc_RNA from 1 species